AUUGAACACUGGCGGCAGGCUUAACACAUGCAAGUCGAGCGGGGUGAUGGUGCUUGCACUAUCACUUAGCGGCGGACGGGUGAGUAAUGCUUAGGAAUCUGCCUAUUAGUGGGGGACAACAUCUCGAAAGGGAUGCUAAUACCGCAUACGUCCUACGGGAGAAAGCAGGGGAUCACUUGUGACCUUGCGCUAAUAGAUGAGCCUAAGUCGGAUUAGCUAGUUGGGGGGGUAAAGGCCUACCAAGGCGACGAUCUGUAGCGGGUCUGAGAGGAUGAUCCGCCACACUGGGACUGAGACACGGCCCAGACUCCUACGGGAGGCAGCAGUGGGGAAUAUUGGACAAUGGGGGGAACCCUGAUCCAGCCAUGCCGCGUGUGUGAAGAAGGCCUUAUGGUUGUAAAGCACUUUAAGCGAGGAGGAGGCUCUUUUGGUUAAUACCCAAGAUGAGUGGACGUUACUCGCAGAAUGAGCACCGGCUAACUCUGUGCCAGCCGCCGCAGUAA
rnacentral:rRNA from 1 species